rnacentral:rRNA from 1 species
GGGCCCGCACAAGCGGAGGAACAUGUGGUUUAAUUCGAUGAUACGCGAGGAACCUUACCUGGGUUUAAAUGUAGGACGCAAGUCACGUGAAAGCGAGACCCUCCCGCAAGGGACGGACUACAAGGUGCUGCAUGGUUGUCGUCAGCUCGUGCCGUGAGGUGUCGGGUUAAGUCCCAUAACGAGCGCAACCCUCAUUGUUAGUUACCAGCGGAUCAUGCCGGGGACUCUAACAAGACUGCCACCGUAAGGUGAGAGGAAGGUGGGGAUGACGUCAAAUCAGCACGGCCCUUAUAUCCAGGGCUACACACGUGUUACAAUGGCCAGUACAAAGGGCAGCUACCUGGUGACAGGAUGCUAAUCUCCAAAACUGGUCUCAGUUCGGAUCGAAGUCUGCAACUCGACUUCGUGAAGUUGGAUUCGCUAGUAAUCGCGCAUCAGCAACGGCGCGGUGAAUACGUUCCCGGGCCUU